AAAUUGAAGAGUUUGAUCAUGGCUCAGAUUGAACGCUGGCGGCAGGCCUAACACAUGCAAGUCGAACGGUAACAGGAAGCAGCUUGCUGCUUUGCUGACGAGUGGCGGACGGGUGAGUAAUGUCUGGGAAACUGCCUGAUGGAGGGGGAUAACUACUGGAAACGGUGGCGUGGC
rnacentral:rRNA from 1 species